GGGAAUCUACCCAACCCUACGGAAUAGCUCCGGGAAACUGGAAUUAAUACCGUAUACGCCCUAUGGGGGAAAGAUUUAUCGGGGAUGGAUGAGCCCGCGUUGGAUUAGCUAGUUGGUGGGGUAAAGGCCUACCAAGGCAACGAUCCAUAGCUGGUCUGAGAGGAUGAUCAGCCACAUUGGGACUGAGACACGGCCCAAACUCCUACGGGAGGCAGCAGUGGGGAAUAUUGGACAAUGGGCGCAAGCCUGAUCCAGCCAUGCCGCGUGAGUGAUGAAGGCCCUAGGGUUGUAAAGCUCUUUCACCGGUGAAGAUAAUGACGGUAACCGGAGAAGAAGCCCCGGCUAACUUCGUGCCAGCAGCCGCGGUAAUACGAAGGGGGCUAGCGUUGUUCGGAAUUACUGGGCGUAAAGCGCACGUAGGCGGAUAUUUAAGUCAGGGGUGAAAUCCCAGAGCUCAACUCUGGAACUGCCUUUGAUACUGGGUAUCUUGAGUAUGGAAGAGGUAAGUGGAAUUCCGAGU
rnacentral:rRNA from 1 species